GGACCCCAGCAGUGCUUGGGAGAUCAGAGCAUCCGUGGAGAGGAGCUGAGGAGGGGGCUCCAGUGCCAGGUACGGGCUGGGGCAGUGCUUCACCUAAUCGCAGCCAGACCGGGAGACAGCGCGCAGCCUCCCCCGCCGCGGCCCAGCGAGGCACCAGGGGCCGCGGUGACGGGGACGGCCGCUCUUCCCGUGCCCCAGGCUGGCCAACAAGCAAGACGCGGCGGCCGCGCUGCUGCCCUGCGAGCUGAUCGAGCGGCUGUGCCUGGAGCGGCUGGUCAACGAGAACCGCUCUCCCUGUCGCAUCGUGAGUGCGGGGCUGGCUCCGCUCCCCGCUCCCCGCUCCCCGUGCCCGCGGGGCUGCCGCCGCCGCUCGGCGCUCCCCGCGCUGAUCCCCCGCCCGCCCGCAGGAGCCCUGUGUCGCCAAGCGGGUCCCCCCCGCCGGCCCGGCCCGCGCCACCCUGCAGGGGCUGCGCUGGCUCCUCCGCGCCGCCGCCGCCGCCCCGGCCCUGCCGGCCGCUGCCCCGGUACCUCCCGCCCCGAGGGCCGCCCGAGCCGGCCCGCCCGCCCGCAGGUGGGUGCGGGGCUCCGCGGGCGCCUGUCCCCGUCCCCAUCCUCCCCCCGCAGCGCUCGUUCUCACCCUGCUGGGCUCUCUCCCCCAGGGACCGGCCGUCCCCCGGGGAAGAGGGCGCGGGGAAGAACGGGGAGCACCGGGCAGCGCGCCCCGUCUGCCGCCUCCUGCCCCUGGAGGAAAGCACUAAGGGCCCCAGGAGGAGGAAGAGGAAGGUGAAGAAGAAGGGCUUGGGGCAGCCAAGCCCAGCCGACGAGCUGGAGGGACCGGGAGUAGGGGGUGACAGCCGUGCAGGGGCUGCCGGGGGGCUGCUGCUCCCCAACAGGGUCGGGCAGGAGGAGCCCGUACCCACCAGGAUGGCCACCCCCCACUCAGCACAGGGCAUGAAAAAGAAAAAAAAGAAGAAAAUCAAGAACAAAAUCAAGUCACAGGAACCUUCUCUGGAACAGCAGCAUGAGGAGGCCUCAAGCACCUUUGAUUUGUACCGCCGGGCGAUGCUGGCUCUGAAGAUGAGGCAGGAGCAGAGGAAGCAGACUUCGGCCAUCACCCCCUGAGCAGGGGAGGCACAAAGCAAGGGAUCCACAGGAGUGAGCCAAAAGUCCCUUUGUAAGAUGCCUCUCUGGCAGCCGGGCUGCAAAUUCAUCUGAAAAGGGAACAGCCGGCCCCUUGCUGCCCCCUGUUAGUAUUCUGUGGAAGACUCCGCUUAAACCCGGAUAAGUCUGUGGAGGAGAGGAAGAUCCGAGCAAACAUCCCAGGGGGAAAGCCUGUCUCUUGAAUUGCCCUAUGCCCUGGGAAAGCUGUCUUGGCAGGUCAGGGGCUGACCUGGCCCGUCAGUCACUCCCUGGCUACUGCCUGGAACAGUCUCAUUUCCUGAUGGUGAAAGUGGGAGAGCAGUCCCAGGUGGUCUGCAGAAGAGCUCCGCCCAACCCUCAGCCACAUCUGGCAGGGCUGUCAGGACUCUCUUCACACCCUGGAGGAGGGCAAUACCCGCGUUUGUGCAUCCUGCAGCCCGUCAGUGAAAAUUUAAGUUCAAUGGCAGCUGGUGGCAGAGGCUGCUGGAGGCUCCUUCCCCAGGAUCGUUCCUCCUGAUCCUGCCAUCCCUCCAGGAGAGACAUUGCAGCAAAUCUUCCCGCGUCACUGGCAGCCCGGCACUCUGCUGCCCCGGGUGGUCCCUGAUGUGUGCUCGGCUCAGCUCUGAGACGGGACAAGCAGCAGCGCAUCGCGUCCCGACACAACCCGCCUGUGACGGGCCGUGUCCGUCCGACUGUGCUGUCCCGGGCCCGAGCCGGGCCGGGGACUCGUGCUGCCCGGCUCUGGCAGGGUGCCUGGGCCGGGAAACCAGCCCUCAGCCCUGGAAACACCUUACGUGGAGCCGGGAACUGGGGUAACACCUGCAACAGUGUUAGAAUGUGAACUUGCGUUAGUCACCUCUGCUCCCGUGGUGGUUAGUGAUUAACAGGCACUGCCUCUGUGGUCCGGGGAAAGGCAAAUCACUAAAGCCCUUCCCUUGGCAGGGCUGAAAAGGGAGAAGAAGAGAAACCGUCUACUUUGCCUUGCCAGCCUGCCAUAAAGUUCUGUCGAACUCUGCCAGAUUCAACUGUUGGUGACUACAGGGAUUAUUUGUAAAUAAAUUGUAAAUAACAACAGCAGAAGUUAAUACUGCCCUGUAAAUACAGCGGUUCCAGCAGCCCCUUGUCUCAGCCUGGUGGAGUUCCCUGCGAUGUGGGUGCUGGGGGGUAGAGGGUAAAGUGGGGACCUGUGCUGUGAUGGAGCCUCUUCUCCUGGGAUGGGUGUCCCUGGGGGUCGUGUCCAGGCUGCCAGCCACGUUCCUUCUGCUGGGGUCCCAGAUCUCCACAGCAUCAUAGGGAGAGAAACAUUAAAAUGUAUCCCCUCUAACACCCACUUCUCACACAGCCACUGGGUUUGGGAUGAGGCCAAGCACUCCCAUACAGCUGGGACCACGAACCAGCCCACGGCCUGCUCACUGCAGCUCCAGAACCGGGUGGGGAGCAGGAGCAGAGUGGGUUUGGGAGCAUCUGGCACGGGCGGCUGCAGCCAGCUCCCGCUGGUGCUCCCUGCAGCUCCCGACACCGCAGCUCCUUCCAGCGAGCACGGAGUGCCCCGUGUGGCACCCACAGCCAGAGAUGUCCAGCAGGACAAGUCACAAGUCCAGCGGCAGAACUGGCUGGGAAACUUUCCUUGGAGCCAGCUGUAAGAAACCUGUCAGGUUGACCUAACACCUUUUCCCAGAUAUAAUGAUCUCCAGCCUGUGGUGCAGACAAGCAGUGAAAACGUAUUUCAAAAUCAACGCCCCUUACCCUGGUGUUUCCAUGGGUGUAGAGCACCUAAUCCCAGGAGAUAAUCCUGGUCUGCAUCAAAAAGGAAUACAACUUUCAUCUUCUUUAGAAGGUGAGCAGCAACAACUCUACAUUAAAAAUGGUGUAUCUCAAAGCAUCUCAGAAAAAUCUCAAAAAUGAGAUCUUGAGAUCUAUGUGACCAAAGAUAAAUCAAAAUAUAUUAAUUAAUGGUUAAUCUGUGCCACUGGAUAAUGGGCUGGGCUGCUCCUGGCACAUGUGAGAAGCAGUGGCUGUAGCAGGGGGUGCAUGCCUGGGGCAAGCACGGUGGGCAGGGCCUCUUUUUCCAUAUUUCUCCUUUUAUUUAUCUUACAUCCCAAUAGCUGAAUAACCGGCUAGGGCAGGAGGUGUCUGGGAGGCAUGGUCCUGGUGGCACUGCCUGCUGCUGGGGGUGAGGUAGGGCCCUGCCCAGGCUGGUCCUGGCGUGUCUGAUCUGCACCGAGGCCAGGCGUGGAGCCCAGCAGCAGGGCGUGGCAUGAGCAGACACCCCCAAAAAUGAGAUGGUGCUGAGUGGUACCCCCCCAUGAAUGCUGGGUUUGCUGAAAAGUGCUGGAGUGCCAAAUGUGCUGAGAAGCAGGAAGCAGUGCCUCAGCAACUGCUGUGGAGAGACACACAUUUUAUCUCUUGUGGAGAGUAUCAACAGCAUUUUCUACAGGGAGCUGGCUGGGUGGCACAACCCUGCUUUGCAUUGCUGCACUUGGAAUUAUCUAGCAUACCCUUCUUUUCCGGCUUCCAGAGGAGCUGACUCAGGAGGGUCAGGGUAGGCAAAACAUGGUGCCUGGUCCCACCAGCACUGUCGUGGUACCACAGCCUGGGCUGGGGCUGCCUUGUUGGAAACUGGCGUGUGAGUCUGCAUUUCUACAGCUCUUGAUUUUGCUCAUUCAGAGACCCACAUCUGCCAGCAGGGUCACCAGCAGCUCUCUCCACAGCCUGUGUCCUUCUGAGCCUAAAAGAUGGAGAGAAGGAGAGAUGGAGGGAGUGAGUCUGCACCCGGCUGAGCUUUGCAGAAGUCGAUGUCUGUUUGUAUGCUGCCAGGAGGAGAUGAAGAGAUGUUUGAGCAAAUGCCUGUGGGAAUACACCUCCCACCUCCUCAUACCAGCAUUGCUUUGCACAAUUGGAUUCCUUCCUGAUGCUUGUUAUCACUAUCAAAAUUUAAAUGUGUGGGCUGAAAGUUGAAGAGUGAGACUGCUGCUCUUCUGUGAAGAGCACUGCUUGGUCACUUGUUUAAAAACACUGCCAAGUCCUCCUGUGUACAGGACAGCACCAACCUUUCCAGGCAGCAGGAAGACCUGGAGGACAGCCUGUAAGAGGGGAUCAUGUGGGGAGGCUGUCAGCUCCUCUAGUUCCACCCAUGGCCCUGCUGUGCUUUCUCCCAUGUCAUUAAAUUUCGCUUUCUGCGCACUGGCUGGGCUUAGCCAGCAACUACACUUUGUGUUAUAACCCCUCCUUGCUCCACUCUACCCCCAGAAGAGGAUGGGGAAGAUGAUGUUGACUCUGAAAUCUUCCCUGAGAGCCCUUGAUUUGUCCCAUACACAUGGGCAGGGCAGGAGGCUCCCCAAGGCAAGCUGUUGUUGAGAUGUACAGGCAUCUCUCCUGCUGUACAUCCACUGUUGUGUUUUUUCAAUAAAAACUAAACCAUGUGUUUUCCCCAUAUAUAUUGGUGUUUCCGGGGGACUGCGAACCAUCAUGGAUUUCACCACUGUUUCCAGGAUUCUGAUGGAGACACCCUUUGGCAAUCAGCCUUCCUAGCACCUGCAGUGAGGAUGCCCCGUGCUCCGAGGGGCAGGACAGGGAAGGUGAGCCUGGUCCUGGGGUGCUCCACACAUCAGGGAGCUGUGGGGCGGCAAAACCCCACAGCAGCCAGGCCUGAUGAAGGAAAGUAACUCAGAGACAGAGAUUUGUGAUGUGGGAAAAACAUGGCAGUUCUUUGACCACUCCUUCACUAACCCAAAUUGAUAGAAGAAGGAGCCAGCAAGUGGUUUUUGCGAGCAUCUCAGACACUGGAAUUUGAACACUGAUUUAGGGCAGUAAAAGGAAUUAAUUGCAAGUGAUCCAGGUUAAUGGGUGUUUUGCAAGGCAAGUGGAAUGGAUCACAUCCUGUGGGGUGCCUGCAGGUGAUUCUCAUCCCCCGCCAACCCAUCUGUAAAUCCCAGCACCUGUUCUGGGGCAUAUAAACAGCCAGGGAAAAGGCAGUGUUUCCCUGGGGUGUAGAGCCUGGGGCUUGGGCUGGUGAGG
rnacentral:lncRNA from 1 species